UUCAGAUGGUGAAGUUUUGAAGAUGUAAUGGAUGGGUCUCUUUGCUAGCCAUGAAGAUGUGUGCCUGCCUUACAUCCCCAAUUCUGCAGUUGCUUUUGUGCUGGUGGAUCCCUACACCUGUGUGAUCUCGUUGAAGUCUAUGGAAGUCUACCUCUGCUGAUCCAGUUUCAAGAUCAGGCCUAGAUGAUAGCUGCUGACAGAAACCAGCCACCAGAUCUGCAUGGAUGCUGUUGUCCCUUUCCUGCAUGUUCCACUAGCAUUUAACUGUUCUCCAGGGUGCUAUUCUGAAACCAGGAUCAGAAGGAAUUUCAAAUGGAGCCAGAAUUUCAUCCAAUGACUUUUCCAUGAGGGAUUGCGGUCACUGGUUGAAUUUCAGCUCACUAUCUAAAGUUAUCUUCAGGAAUGAAUGAGAUACAACAGAUGCAAUCAUGUCUGAUCUUAGUUACAGCAGUGAAAAUCUGAGUCAAAUCCCAUUUCAUAGACACAAGUGUAAAUCUGGAGUAACUUCAUUCCAUGGAGUUUCUCUGGAUUUAAGCUAUUUAAACAGUUUUUUGUAAAGAAUUUAUCUUAAAAUGAGCAUUUU